AUUCCCCUAGUAACGGCGAGUGAAGAGGGAAAAGCCCAAAUUUGUAAUCCGGCUUCUGUAACAGGAAGUCUGAGUUGUAAUUUUAAGAGCUGUUUUCAGUGUUGGACCACUCAUAAAUCUGAUGAAAAUCAGUGUCAUAGAAGGUGAUAACCCUGUAUGUUGAGUGGAGAACCAUUACAAUAUGAUACAGUUUCUAAGAGUCGAGUUGUUUGGGAAUGCAGCUCAAAGUGGGUGGUAAAUUCCAUCUAAGGCUAAAUAUUAGUGAGAGACCGAUAGCAAACAAGUACCGUGAGGGAAAGAUGAAAAGAACUUUGGAAAGAGAGUUAACAGUGCGUGAAAUUGUUAAAAGGGAAACACUUGAAGUUAUCACUUGCUUUUGUUGGUUCUUACAUCCUUGUUCAGGAUUUUAUUCCAACUAUGGGCAGGCCAAUGUCAAUUUAUAAGUGCUGGAGAAGGGCUCUAAAAAUGUAUCAGUCUUUUGGGACUGUGUUAUAGUUUGGAGCUUGGAUACAGUGCUAUGGAUUGAGAGAUUUUCAGUAAGCCUUACUUGUUGAGGUUGAGACAUCCGUGUCUUUCUUACUCAAGAUAUUGGCAAGAUGACUUUAAAUGACCCGUCUUGAA
rnacentral:rRNA from 1 species